GUCAGUGUGGCCGAGUGGUUAAGGCGAUUGAGUACGUUUGUCUACCGUUAAUUUACACUUUUCAAAUCUCUUACUAACUAUCCCUACAGCUAGAAAUCAAUUCCGUUCGCGGGCAGAGGUUCGAAUCCUCUCGCUGACG